rnacentral:rRNA from 1 species
ACAUGCCUACAACAUAACAUUAAUUCACUAGAUCCCAUUAGAACUCCACAGUUAAGUGCGCUCGAGAUAUAUUAGUAUUGGUAUGGGUGACCUCCCGGGAAGUCCUAGUGUUUUACAUGCC